GAAGCCACAUGUAGCUACCAUAUUACAAAAUAUAGGCCUAGAUAUUAGCAUUUAGUUCAUAAAUAAGCAAAAACUGAAGUAUGAUUUGGGCAAUUACCAUGUAGAAACUGCCAUAAUGGGCACAGGUAUUCUAAUCACAAAGGUAUUUAUUAUAAGGAAAACAAUGCGGUUGUAAACUCAUUCUAUAAAUGGGACGAUUGGGAUUAAGAUAAAGUUUAUUUACUACUGCCAGGAAGUCAAACCCAAUUAGAAGAUAAGAAAUUAUGUUAAUGACAUUUCUAUGAAGGAUAACUGUCAAAAUACAGAGAAUGAAUAGAAACAAUAAAACAGUACUAUUUACCUAGCAUGCAUCUCAGAGGAUCCUACUAAAGCAUGAGAAAUUGACUAAUCAGAGUUGCUACCAAACACUAAAAAAGGACCUUAUUCUCAAUUACAGGCCUAUGAACUAACUCAAGAUCAGCACUACAUGUAAGCAUCAAAGUUGUAUCUAUAACCAGCUUAGACCCAAGUACUUUGAUUGUUAUAAAAUCCUAUUUAUAACUUUCCUAUCUUGUAUAUGGCCAUUUGUAUUGGACUGAAAUAUUGCAUUUACUUUAAACCACUAUCUAAGAAACACAGGAACAACGGAGAAAGUGCAAGGAAAGGCCAAGGGCCCCAGAAUAUGAAUUUUGGAGAGAUUACUCUGUCUUGUUAGUAAUAGGGAAAAGUUUACAACAAGACAGCUAAACAAUCAGGAAAUACUUACUUUUAUGAUAGCCUGGGCUAUUACCUAACUGGAAAAAGAAUGAAAAGGCAGGCAUAGGACCAGAAACUACAAUAUGCCUUGAUAAUCAUUCCAGGGAAAUGUCAGGUUUAUAAAGUACCACUUAGAUUCAAUUCAGAAAGUCAGUCAAUGAUUACCAAGUUCAGAAGAGCUGGCUCUGUCCUUAAUAAACCUGGGAAUUGAGUAAAGCUUGCCUCUAGUAUUCCCUUUUCCUUUCCCAUCUACCUGGCUAACACCUGCCCUUCUAGAAUCAGAAUCCUGUGACUCCUCCAGCCACCCAAGGUGACUCAUGCUGACUUCCUCCAAGUGAUACUACCUACCUUCUCUGUCAAGCCUUCUGUCCCUAAACCAUCACGUAUGAAAGGUGAAAUAGGAGCCUACUCUGAUUUCACAGUUUUAACCAUCAUCCUGUGACCCCAAAAGUCCAUCCCAGGUAACAUUCUCUGAUUUUGGUAAUGCAAAAAUGUGUCACACUCAUUUUAAGACUGGAAUGAGGCCAAUUACUACUACUCAGUAUACCUAAAUACAGAAUUGCUACUUGUAUAAAAUUACUCUCAAUUAUUUAAAAAACACAGUAAAACAAAACAAAAACUGUUGACUCUGUGUGAGAAGUUGUCAACUUACCAGUGCUAGGAUUAAAGUAUAUUUAAUGAGGCCUGUUUUAGGUUAGAGAGGCAUGACAAAUUUUGAAAGGUCUAAGGAUGUAUCUUUCCUGAAUGUCAAGGACACACUCCGGACAAUAUGAUAACUGGCCUGUUCUAAACUGAGGAUCAAUGCCAGGUUCCACUUGCAUUCCACAUGAGGCCUAUUAUUAGCUAACAGAUGGAAUUUCAGGCACUGAAGAUGAUGUCUUAGGUAGAAGAAAGUUAAUGCCCUAAAUCCUCAUGUAGGAUGCCCAACAUCUGGACCCACACAGCAUGACUACUGGUGCUGAGCAGCCACCCACAGAGGGUAUACACAUGAAGACAUUAAACAUAAAAGAAAUGGCCUGUGCUGAGCAACAGAGAAAGUUGUAUCAGAGAUAAAACCAAACAGAUGAAUUACCUCACAGGAUUGCUGGUCAAAGACACUCGGAGAGACUCCAGGCAUGUGACAAGUCUCUCAUCUGCAGACCCCAUUUUCAGCUCAUGAAUGAAUUCCUGAGAUUCACCAUCCAAUGGCAGGAAAUGAAUUGUGUAAGUUCAAAAGAAGAUCAGGUGAAGUGGCAGGAAAUUAGGUGUUUUUCAUGUUUUUUGUUUUUAUUAAUUUAAUAUAAUGUUAUUCAAGAAAACAUUCCCAAUAAAGCAAAACAAAUUAGCACUGUAAA